CUCCAAGCUCAUUUAAAGCCUUAAAAUUCCUCAAAGGCUCCAUUUAUCUUUUAGAAGAGCAUUGGAGACAACACAGCAUCCAUCUUUUUGGAACCUGACUCUAAGCUCCGGUGCCUCCUGUCCUUGAUUACAGUGGCCUCUAACCCGUGGCUCAUCCAAAUCCCUCACGGCUCAGGCCCCGUGACCCCUGCUGCCUCCUGUGCGGGCCUUUGGUGGCUCUGCUUUUCUCCAGCUUUACCACCACCAGAAGAACAUUCCAAGCUGCAAGGAGAAUGAGAUGUCCCACAAUACCUCACCCUAAGGUAAUUGUUUGAUUUUGCUUCCUGCCAUUGUCUGUACAGAUCUAUAGUUGCAAAAAU